AUGGUCACUUGGCAUGAGUUGUGCCUCAGGUUGCAACAGAAUAAAACUAUUGAUAGCGCUGCUCGACAACAACUUGAGAAAGAAAAGGACCAUUGGCGUAAAGUAUUGCUUAGAAUUCUCUUGAUUGUUAAAUUUCUUGCGAAACAUAAUCUAGCCUUUCGUGGUACUAAUUCCAAAUUGUAUCAAGAUAGCAACGGAAAUUUCUUAGGCUUGGUUGAAAUGUUGGCUGAGUUUGACCCGGUUAUUCAAGAACAUCUUCGUCGCAUAACAAAUGAUGAAACUCAUACUCAUUACCUUGGUCAUGGCAUCCAAAAUGAGUUAAUACAUUUGAUUGCUUCUGCAAUUAAAUCUGAGAUCAUUAAAAAAUAA
rnacentral:rRNA from 1 species